UCUCCGUUUCCGAGUAAUUUCAGUUCAGUAGCUGUAGCUCCAUAAUUAACUCAUUUUAUGAAAGAAUCCAUCAACGCGAUUUAUGCUGUUGAUCUUCAAUCAAAUGUGUACUAAUCACGGAAUCGGAUAGAAAGUCACAGGAGAAGAGGAUUGUGAAUUUCAGCCACCAAUCCAAACCCUACCGAAUUCCGCCGAAGCAUCGCCUCCAACAGCGCCGCGGUUGUCUCAUCCGGUGUAAGGCUUCGUGUUUAUGUGUUUGUUGAUUUUGGAUCGGCCUUUUUCUAGUGCUUCAACUGAAUUACCCAUUCCUAUUUACAAUGCCAUCUAUAUUCGUUGCUUGUUGUGGCAGAGAGAAAAAAAUUGAAUGCAAUUUAGCAAUUCGAGUCAUUAGAUAAACCUUUUAUUCUGUGUUAUCUCCCUGAAAUCACGAGAACGUAAUCGAGAACAGAAUGAUGGCUGAAGUUGUAAGUAUAUGUAUCCAACCUCUGAACUUAGCUGGCUCAAAACGUAUGGUAAUGUGAUUGAUGAACUGCAUCAAUUGCUACUAUAUAAAAGCGGACGAGGCUGAUAGGAAUUAAGCAAUUGAUGCAGUUUUGGAGAGAAAAACCCGAUGGAUUUGAUGAUGGGGUAUGCAAAUGAUUCUAUGAUGCGUGUGGACUCUUUGAAUUUUAAUUUGAGUUCCUGAGUUUUCGUUAAACCUCUGCUUAUAGGGGUUAAUCAUCUUGAUGAAUGUAUCAGUGUUGUUUUGACUAUUCCUUCUUCUCUUUCCCUCUGUUAGCUGUGGUUUUCCUUUGGAAAAAUUGUCAAAGGUAAAAUUCAGCAAGUUUUUAGUUUUUUGAACAGGUUUCCUGUCUUUGUGACAUCUUCAAUUGACUUCUAAAUUUGUAUAUUUUUCGCAGAAUGAUUUCAUAUGAUUUAGGUAGAGCAUAAUAGAGGAUGCCACUGUAAAAGAACUGGGUGUUUUAAGAAGUAUUGUGAGUGCUUCCAGGCAAAUAUUUCUUGCUCCGACUAAUGUAACUGGAAAAACAUUGAAGGAUGUGAAAGAGAAGAAAACUGGUCUUUAUCACCAUUCAGUAGAUUCAGUAGCAUUUAUCCAGCAAGCCAACGCGGCCAUCAAUGGAGCUAUUGGAACUCGAAGCAAGAAGAGUAGAAAUCCGCGCAUUGGUUUUGAUUGGACAUCUAGUAGACAAUUUUAAGGAACCAUUCGAAAACUCAUGUUUUCCGUCAUUGUUCAGCUGUCUAAACCAGACCACCCUGCCAAAUUAGGACUUUGUUAAUCCGUGCAGGUCUCUUUUAAGUGGCAUCCUCCAAUUACAUCAUGUGAAGGAAUUGUGCAAACUCUUGGUUGAAGUAUCAACAGAAGCAGAGUGUUCCAGGUAGGUUUCACCGCCUCAGAGUUUGUGAACUGUGCAGUUUCAAAUCGUUGAUCAUUUUGGAAACGGUGACGAGAACAUCUGCAACGUAAUUGUUAGUUCAGCGCAUGCGGUUUUGUUGAUUGCUUUGAUGGAUUAGCUACGUAACUAUUAGGAACCAUAUAUAUUUUUGUGUUAUCCGAGACUUAAAAUUUGACAGUCUUGAAGUUUUGUAUUUACCUCCUUGGAAGAAAAGAGAGUGGUCGAUGGUGGCAUUGGACACCAUCAAAAGCCAACGGAAUGCUGUGGAACUGCCGGGAAAAGUAGCAUGUAAAGAUAGGGCAUCACUUUGUGAAUCUGAUGGCUAUGAUAUUCAAAAUGGAAGACCAUUUGUGACAAACGAGAUGCAACGUUUAUGGUGGCUGCUAAGGCUCCAUCCACUCACCGACUCACAACCGAAAAUUCAAUAUAUUCGAUAUUUUUUCGAUACAAUAUUUUUCCUCAUCCUAAACUCAUGUUGUUGGGAAUCAUGGCUGGCCUCUCGUGCAGGGAGAAGGGUCAAUACUAUAAUGGUUCGGUAUUAUUGUACUGGUAAAUAAAUAUUUGAUUUCGUACUAUACUACAUUUGUAUAAUAUAUGGAGUAUGCUUAUUUUGGGACAAAA